UCUCGACUAGUAUAUCGGUUGAGUACACGCGCCUGUCAUGGUCCUGGGAGUUGAACCCACCAGACGUCGCGCGAAAGCUGGGUUCGACUCCCAGGUCGAGAG